GUUCACGUUACGAAAUUAAAGGCUAAAAUUAAGGGCUUGCUGUUUUAGAUAGGUGAGAGGAUUAGUGCCUGUACCUUCCAAAACACACGCUCGCCCCGCAUCCCACGCCCCGCGCCGGCAUCCUCCAUGCGCCUCAUCGUCGAAGCGGGAGACGUGCCGCGCCCGGCAGCGUUCGGCGGUCGAAGGGGGAGACGUGCCGCGCCCAGCCACCGCCGCAGCCCCAAUCAUCGCACUAAAAUCACGCCGCAUCCUGCCUCUUGUCCUCUCUCCUAUCAGAUGUUCGCGCAGCUGGGACACCGCUCGAGGACGCCGCCGACGCAGGAAUCCGUCCGCCACAGAAGCUGCAAAAACGGGGUCACCAGCCACCGUCACGGCCUCCCUCCCCGCCAUUCUCACGCGCACCUUCAUCGCGUCGCUGUCGAGGCCGGAUCUGAUGUUGCCCCCUCUACGUCAUCAGAAUCCUGCCAAGGCUUUCUCUCAGCUUUGUUCUCAGCAGUGGGCUCUGCUGAUGGUUUUGUCCAAAAUAAGGCAUUUCAACGGAAAUCAUAUGGCAUGCGUGGAUUAAAUCUUGAACUUUGCUACUAAAUAUUUGUACUAAACAUGGUGUAACUCGCUUGUCAGUUUUGCCUCAUAAUCCUAGCUCUCAUUGGUUGAUUUUCAUGAUGUUGCGUAUAUUUUACUGAGGUUAUCCUCUAAAAAACGAUUUUUAUAUCUGUGGUCUUUUUAGUAAUGGGCACUAUAACUUAUAAAAAUGUUGUGUAUUUCUGGACUCGCAUGUAUAGUAUUUUGAUG
rnacentral:rRNA from 1 species